rnacentral:lncRNA from 1 species
CACAAUAUCUAUCAAGUUCCCAAUUCCAGACAGUGAGCAACCCUUUGACCACACAGGCAGGAUCAGGUGGCAGGUUAGAGCUUAAUGUAACCACCACAGGUAACUCAGUGAAUAUAACCACAGGACUUACCAAUACAAGCGUAUCUGGCACUAUAUACACUGAUAACCAGCUAGCUGUUUAUCAGGUUGACAAGGUGCUCCUUCCUGUUGAUAUUUUUACACCUAAACCUCCUACUCCAGCACCAGCACCUGAAAAACCAAAGAAAAGGUCUAAAGCUGCAGAGAGUCCAGAUGCUCCUGAGGAUAAUUCUGGAGCAGUAAGCUUAACUGUUCUUAAUGAUGUUGUGUUCUUUGGAGUGGGCAUUGUUGCAGCAAUAUUUUCUUUGUGACACAGUUCAUGAGUUUGUUA